rnacentral:rRNA from 1 species
UACGUAGGGUGCAAGCGUUAAUCGGAAUUACUGGGCGUAAAGCGCGCGCAGGCGGUCUUCCAAGUCAGUGGUGAAAGCCCGGAGCUCAACUCCGGAACUGCCAUUGAAACUGUAAGACUUGAGGAUGAGAGAGGUGAGUGGAAUUCCCAGUGUAGAGGUGAAAUUCGUAGAUAUUGGGAAGAACACCGGUGGCGAAGGCGGCUCACUGGCUCAUUACUGACGCUCAGGCGCGACAGCGUGGGGAUCAAACAGG